GUAGUCCGGUACCAAAACACAGUGAAUUAUUUGCAAGUCACUGUAGUGAUCUCAGGUCGGAGGGAUACUUAUACUCAUAUCUUUUUGGAAUAACUCUUUACAGUAGAGUGCUUCAGAGUUGGUCACGUUCAGUGAAAUGUACUCCUACAGUUCACCUGGAUGCCAUACCAAUAUCUUCAUGCUCUUUAGUUAAGAGGACAACCAACCUAUAUGGCAUACAACACCUACACUUGAUAUGUCUAUCAUUCUAGUAAUAGCAUAUCAU
rnacentral:lncRNA from 1 species